GGUCGUUGUUGAUGAAAACUCCUGUAUAGCAUCAUGUCCAAACUCUCCCUCUGAAACAGUGGAACCCCAAACCUUGGCUUGUGAAGUGGGAAUUGCAAAUGGCGGAGCACAUACCUGAAGAUGUGAUAGUAAAAAUCUUCCAGAGGUUGCCUAUCAAAUCCUUAAUCCGCUUCACCUCCCUUUCGCAGCGCUGGCGCUUCAUCAUACUCCGCGACCCUCACUUCGCCACAUCCCAGUUCCAAAUCGCUUCCGGCAACAACAAAAGUGUCUGUUUCCUGAGCUACUCUGAUUCUAACUUCUUCGAAUCGCUGAACUUGCAAACGCCGUCGUCUUUUAGAAAUCUUACCUGCCCAUUCAAGCAACCAGACAGUAUGGUUUUCAUACACUCCUCAUGCCGUGGUCUGAUGUUUGCAAAUUUUUGUGGGCAGGGAAUAGUAGCGAGGUAUAUAUGGAACCCAUCAACUGGGUUCUUCAAAAAACUACCUGAUCCAGGUGUUAAAGAUGAGUUUCUAGUCUUCUCUGGUUUUGGGUAUAUCUCGGCCACCGACGACUACAAGAUUCUCAUAGCCAACUCUAAACGUGAGAAGGGAGAGAAACCCAGGAUCCGCAUCUUCUCGUCGAAAUCCAACUCUUGGAAAAGGAUUCAAGAUUCCCAAUAUUCCGCCUCGUCAACGACAAUCAUGGGCACUCUUUUAAAUGAGGCACUUCAUUGGCUGGAGAUGUUUGAUGACGUUAUAGUUGCUUUUGAUUUAGCAGAUGAGGAGUUCCGGACAAUGCCACUGCCUGUUGUUGAGGAUCACUAUGCUGGUGACUAUUUCAGACAUCUAGGGGUUCUUGGAGGUUCCCUGUGUGUGUUUGGUCAGGCCGAUACUAAUGCUGGCUCUAUGGAUAUGUGGGUCAUGAGGGAAUAUGAUGCGGGUAACUCCUGGACUAAGCUGUUUAACUUAAAGUUUUCCAAUCAGCCUGAGGGGAUUAUUUCUGUCAACCCAAUCUGGGUUAUGGAAACUGGUACAUUUCUGGAGAUACAUUCUAACUCUGAAACGAGGGUGAAGUUGGUAAGGAGUUAUUAUAAUGAAGAGAAGAUCGAAGAGAUUCAUAUGGAUAGACAGUCAAUGAUUGGAUAUGAAGAGAGUCUACUUUGGCUUGAGUAAAUGAUUACUCUCUGCAUCCAAAUUCAGAGAGAAUCUUUAUGGGAUUCAUUUGAAGACCUGGUUCAUGUGAGUGUCGGUUAGCCUAAGUAGAUAUAUGGUACAACGAGGACCAUAUGAACCCAUUUUGAAAUUGAUGCAAGAUGGUUAGACAGCAUAAAGGAAGUUGAAGCAUCUCUUUUCAUAAGUAUCAGCAGAAGAUCACAUGUUAUACUGUUGCAGUUAAGGUUUACAAGCCAAAGAGUUCAGGCAGGUUGACCACUGAAGAGGUUUGAUCUCUUCGUUUUCCAUGGAUUUUAUGGUUUACACAUGCACGAGCAAGUGUGUGAGGACCAGAUGAAGUGGAUCCAGUUCUGAGGAUCCUGGAGCACCUUGCUCGACGUCACCAUUUCCCCUGGGCUAUUGUUUAUUAGAGGCUAUGUAUGCAUCUCUGUUAAUAUGUUGUUAAUGUAUGAAAUUGAUAUGCUUAAGAUAAUGUUCAGUUGUGUUGUUCUGUGAUCCUAUCAAUAAAGGGGAUAAUUUUUUAUAGUCUUAU